rnacentral:lncRNA from 1 species
GGUGCCCCAGGUGUUCACAACAAAGACAGAGAGAGAGAGAAGAAUUAGGUUAUUUUGUAAAAUGCUUUUUUUCCUAGGGAAGGCUGUGUCUUGGAACUUCUUGCUCAACUGACCUCACAUUUGGACCACUACCACUCCACAGCAUCCCCAGGAGGCAAAGCAGAUUUCAAGAAAAUCUAAGUUAGCAUAAUAGUUCUUGGGUUGUCCCCCUCUCAGCACUUCAACCUACUUCUCCUCACAACUGGAAUGAGAGCUGUCUGGAGAGGUCAUGAUCAAUCUAACUCCAUAUUCAACAAGAAACCAGCCCAGAGAGCA